UUCUAAUAGAAUUAAUUAUUAGUAUAAUCUGCUCAAUGAAUUUAAAUAGCCGCAAUUAUUUUGUGCUAAGGUAGCAUAAUCAUUUGUCUUUUAAUUAAAGACUAGAACGAAAGAUUAAACUUUUUAAUUUCUUUCUUUAAAUAAAUUUUUAACUUAACUUAAAUAUUAAAAGGUAUUUAUAAAUUAAAAAGACGAUAAGACCCUAUCGAACUUUACUAAUGUUUAACUGGGGUAGUUAAUUAAAUAAUAUUUUAAUUUUUAAUUAAAAAUUUUCCAAAAAAUUUGAUAUUACUAAGUUACCAUAGGGAUAACAGCGUAAUAUUUUUACUAAGAUCAUAUUUUCAAAAAUGUUUACGACCUCGAUGUUGAAUAAUUACCUAAUUAAAUGCAAUAAUUUAUAAAGGAAGUCUGUUCGACUUUUAAUUUCUUACA
rnacentral:rRNA from 1 species